rnacentral:rRNA from 1 species
GAUGAACGCUGGCGGCGUGCCUAAUACAUGCAAGUCGAGCGAACAGACGAGGAGCUUGCUCCUCUGACGUUAGCGGCGGACGGGUGAGUAACACGUGGAUAACCUACCUAUAAGACUGGGAUAACUUCGGGAAACCGGAGCUAAUACCGGAUAAUAUAUUGAACCGCAUGGUUCAAUAGUGAAAGACGGUUUUGCUGUCACUUAUAGAUGGAUCCGCGCCGCAUUAGCUAGUUGGUAAGGUAACGGCUUACCAAGGCAACGAUGCGUAGCCGACCUGAGAGGGUGAUAGGCCACACUGGAACUGAGACACGGUCCAGACUCCUACGGGAGGCAGCAGUAGGGAAUCUUCCGCAAUGGGCGAAAGCUUGACGGAGAAACGCCGCGUGAGUGAUGAAGGUCUUCGGAUCGUAAAACUCUGUUAUUAGGGAAGAACAAAUGUGUAAGUAACUAUGCACGUCUUGACGGUACCUAAUCAGAAAGCCACGGCUAACUACGUG